rnacentral:rRNA from 1 species
UGGGGAAUCUUGCACAAUGGGCGAAAGCCUGAUGCAGCGACGCCGCGUGCGGGACGAAGGCCUUCGGGUUGUAAACCGCUUUCAGCAGGGACGAGGCCGCAAGGUGACGGUACCUGCAGAAGAAGCCCCGGCUAACUACGUGCCAGCAGCCGCGGUAAUACGUAGGGGGCGAGCGUUAUCCGGAUUCAUUGGGCGUAAAGCGCGCGUAGGCGGCCUGCUAGGUCGGGACUCAAAUCCGGGGGCUCAACCCCCGCCCGGUCCCGAUACCGACAGGCUUGAGUCUGGUAGGGGAAGGCGGAAUUCCAAGUGUAGCGGUGGAAUGCGCAGAUAUUUGGAAGAACACCGGUGGCGAAGGCGGCCUUCUGGGCCAAGACUGACGCUGAGGCGCGAAAGCUAGGGG